AACAGGUCUGUGAUGCCCUUAGAUGUUCUGGGCCGCACGCGCGCUACACUGACAGAGCCAACGAGUUCUUCACCUUGUUCGAAAGAAUUGGGUAAUCUUGUUAAACUCUGUCGUGCUGGGGAUAAAGCAUUGCAAUUAUUGCUUUUCAACGAGGAAUGCCUAGUAAGCGCGUGUCAUCAGCAUGCGUUGAUUACGUCCCUGACCUUUGUACACACCGCCCGUCGCUACUACCGAUUGAAUGGCUCAGUGAGGCCUUCGGACUGGCU
rnacentral:rRNA from 1 species